rnacentral:rRNA from 1 species
UACACAUGCAGUCGAACGCGUGUAGCAAUACACGAGUGGCGCACGGGUGAGUAACGCGUGGAUAUCUGCCUUUUGGUUCGGAAUAACCCCGGGAAACUGGGGCUAAUACCGGAUGGUUCCUUCGGGAUAAAGAUUUAUCGCCAAAAGAUGAGUCCGCGUACGAUUAGCUAGUUGGUGAGGUAAUGGCUCACCAAGGCGACGAUCGUUAGCUGGUCUGAGAGGACGAUCAGCCACACUGGGACUGAGACACGGCCCAGACUCCUACGGGAGGCAGCAGUGGGGAAUAUUGGACAAUGGGGGCAACCCUGAUCCAGCCAUGCCGCGUGAGUGAUGAAGGCCUUCGGGUUGUAAAGCUCUUUUGGCGGGGACGAUGAUGACGGUACCCGCAGAAUAAGCCCCGGCUAACUUCGUGCCAGCAGCCGCGGUAAGACGAAGGGGGCUAGCGUUGUUCGGAAUUACUGGGCGUAAAGCGAGUGUAGGUGGUUGUCCAAGUUGGAUGUGAAAGCCUUGAGCUCAACUCAAGAAAUGCAUUCAGGACUGGGCGGCUAGAGGACCGGAGAGGAUAGCGGAAUUCCCAGUGUAGUGGUGAAAUACGUAGAGAUUGGGAAGAACACCAGUGGCGAAGGCGGCAUCCUGGACCGGCAUUGACGCUGAUGAGCGAAAGCUAGGGGAGCAAACGGGAUUAGAUACCCCGGUAGUCCUAGCCCUAAACGAUGAAUGCUUGGUGUGGCGGGUAUCGAUCCCUGCCGUGCCGAAGCUAACGCAUUAAGCAUUCCGCCUGGGGAGUACGGUCGCAAGGCUGAAACUCAAAGGAAUUGGCGGGGGCCCGCACAAGCGGUGGAGCAUGUGGUUCAAUUCGACGCAACGCGAAGAACCUUACCCAGGCUUGAACAGCGAGUCACAUCCGGGCGAAAGCCGGCUCCCGCAAGGGGACUCGUAGAGGUGCUGCAUGGC